GUUUAAACUAGUGUUUCUACAGCCUGAAAAGCUCAAAAACGAUGUUUUAGUGUUUCUGCAUUGGUUUUCAUCACAGCAACCUCUAAUGGUCAUGUUCUGAUGCCAGAAUACUGUCAAACAGCUCAAUACAUCCUAAAUGUACAGUUGCAUAUGCGGUGGUUUAAACUAGUGUUCUUAUGACCUGAAAAGCUCAAAAACGAUGUUUUAGUGUUUCUGCAUUGUUUUUUUAACAUUACAGUUCAUAAUGGUCAUGUUCUCAUGCCAGGCUACUUUCAAACAGCUCAAUACAUCCUAAAUGUACAGUUGCAAUUGCCGUGGUUUAAACUAGUUUUUCUACAGCCUGAAAAGCUCAAAAACGAUGUUUUAGUGUUUCUGCAUUGGUUUCCAUCAGAGCAGCCUCUAAUGGUCAUGUUCUGAUGCCAGAAUACUGUCAAACAGCUCAAUGCAUCCUAAAUGUACAGCUGCAUAUGUCUUGGUUUAAACUAGUGUUCUUAUGACCUGAAAAGCUCAAAAACGAGGCCUUUGUGUUUCUGCACUGUUUUGUUAAACCUUACAGUUUAUAAUGGUCAUGUUCUCAUGCCAGGCUACUUUAAAACAGCUCAAUACAUCCUAAAAGCAGAGUUGCAAUUGCCGUGGUUUAAACUAGUGUUUCUACAGCCUGAAAAGCUCAAAAACGAUGUUUUAGUGUUUCUGCAUUGGUUUUCAUCAGAGCAGCCUCUAAUGGUCAUGUUCUGAUGCCAGAAUACUUUCCAACAGCUCAAUACAUCCUAAAGGUGCAGCUGCAUAGGCGGUGGUUUAAACUAGUGUUCUUAUGACCUGAAAAGCUCCAAAACAAUGUUUUAGUGUUUCUGCAUUGUUUUUUUAACAUUACAGUUUAUAAUAGUCAUGUUCUCAUGCCAGGCUACUUUCAAACAGCUCAAUACAUCCUAAAUGUACAGUUGUAAUAGCCGUGGUUUAAACUAGUUUUUCUACAGCCUGAAAAGCUCAAAAACGAUGUUUUAGUGUUUCUGCAUUGAUUUCCAUCAGAGCAGCCUCUAAUGGUCAUGUUCUGAUGCCAGAUCACUGUCAAACAGCUCAAUGCAUCCUAAAUGUACAGCUGUAUAUGUCUUGGUUUAAACUAGUGUUCUUAUGACCUGAAGAGCUCAAAAACGAGGUCUUUGUGUUUCUGCACUGUUUUGUUAAACCUUACAGUUUAUAAUGGUCAUGUUCUCAUGCCAGGCUACUUUAAAACAGCUCAAUACAUCCUAAAAGCAGAGUUGCAAUUGCCGUGGUUUAAACUAGUGUUUCUACAGCCUGACAAGCUCAAAAACGAUGUUUUAGUGUUUCUGCAUUGGUUUUCAUCAGAGCAGCCUCUAAUGGUCAUGUUCUGAUUCCAGAAUACUGUAAAACAGCUCAAUACAUCCUAAAAGCAGAGUUG
rnacentral:lncRNA from 1 species